GGGUUGUGAGGUUAAGCGACUAAGCGUACACGGUGGAUGCCCUGGCAGUCAGAGGCGAUGAAGGACGUGCUAAUCUGCGAUAAGCGUCGGUAAGGUGAUAUGAACCGUUAUAACCGGCGAUUUCCGAAUGGGGAAACCCAGUGUGAUUCGUCACACUAUCAUUAACUGAAUCCAUAGGUUAAUGAGGCGAACCGGGGGAACUGAAACAUCUAAGUACCCCGAGGAAAAGAAAUCAACCGAGAUUCCCCCAGUAGCGGCGAGCGAACGGGGAGCAGCCCAGAGCCUGAAUCAGUGUGUGUGUUAGUGGAAGCGUCUGGAAAGGCGCGCGAUACAGGGUGACAGCCCCGUACACAAAAAUGCACAUACUGUGAGCUCGAUGAGUAGGGCGGGACAGGUGGUAUCCUGUCUGAAUAUGGGGGGACCAUCCUCCAAGGCUAAAUACUCCUGACUGACCGAUAGUGAACCAGUACCGUGAGGGAAAGGCGAAAAGAACCCCGGCGAGGGGAGUGAAAAAGAACCUGAAACCGUGUACGUACAAGCAGUGGGAGCACAGAGCAAUCUGUGUGACUGCGUACCUUUUGUAUAAUGGGUCAGCGACUUAUAUUCUGUAGCAAGGUUAACCGAAUAGGGGAGCCGAAGGGAAACCGAGUCUUAACUGGGCGUUAAGUUGCAGGGUAUAGACCCGAAACCCGGUGAUCUAGCCAUGGGCAGGUUGAAGGUUGGGUAACACUAACUGGAGGACCGAACCGACUAAUGUUGAAAAAUUAGCGGAUGACUUGUGGCUGGGGGUGAAAGGCCAAUCAAACCGGGAGAUAGCUGGUUCUCCCCGAAAGCUAUUUAGGUAGCGCCUCGUGAAUUCAUCUCCGGGGGUAGAGCACUGUUUCGGCAAGGGGGUCAUCCCGACUUACCAACCCGAUGCAAACUGCGAAUACCGGAGAAUGUUAUCACGGGAGACACACGGCGGGUGCUAACGUCCGUCGUGAAGAGGGAAACAACCCAGACCGCCAGCUAAGGUCCCAAAGUCAUGGUUAAGUGGGAAACGAUGUGGGAAGGCCCAGACAGCCAGGAUGUUGGCUUAGAAGCAGCCAUCAUUUAAAGAAAGCGUAAUAGCUCACUGGUCGAGUCGGCCUGCGCGGAAGAUGUAACGGGGCUAAACCAUGCACCGAAGCUGCGGCAGCGACGCUGAUGCGUUGUUGGGUAGGGGAGCGUUCUGUAAGCCUGUGAAGGUGUGCUGUGAGGCAUGCUGGAGGUAUCAGAAGUGCGAAUGCUGACAUAAGUAACGAUAAAGCGGGUGAAAAGCCCGCUCGCCGGAAGACCAAGGGUUCCUGUCCAACGUUAAUCGGGGCAGGGUGAGUCGACCCCUAAGGCGAGGCCGAAAGGCGUAGUCGAUGGGAAACAGGUUAAUAUUCCUGUACUUGGUGUUACUGCGAAGGGGGGACGGAGAAGGCUAUGUUGGCCGGGCGACGGUUGUCCCGGUUUAAGCGUGUAGGCUGGUUUUCCAGGCAAAUCCGGAAAAUCAAGGCUGAGGCGUGAUGACGAGGCACUACGGUGCUGAAGCAACAAAUGCCCUGCUUCCAGGAAAAGCCUCUAAGCAUCAGGUAACAUCAAAUCGUACCCCAAACCGACACAGGUGGUCAGGUAGAGAAUACCAAGGCGCUUGAGAGAACUCGGGUGAAGGAACUAGGCAAAAUGGUGCCGUAACUUCGGGAGAAGGCACGCUGAUAUGUAGGUGAAGUCCCUCGCGGAUGGAGCUGAAAUCAGUCGAAGAUACCAGCUGGCUGCAACUGUUUAUUAAAAACACAGCACUGUGCAAACACGAAAGUGGACGUAUACGGUGUGACGCCUGCCCGGUGCCGGAAGGUUAAUUGAUGGGGUCAGCGCAAGCGAAGCUCUUGAUCGAAGCCCCGGUAAACGGCGGCCGUAACUAUAACGGUCCUAAGGUAGCGAAAUUCCUUGUCGGGUAAGUUCCGACCUGCACGAAUGGCGUAAUGAUGGCCAGGCUGUCUCCACCCGAGACUCAGUGAAAUUGAACUCGCUGUGAAGAUGCAGUGUACCCGCGGCAAGACGGAAAGACCCCGUGAACCUUUACUAUAGCUUGACACUGAACAUUGAGCCUUGAUGUGUAGGAUAGGUGGGAGGCUUAGAAGUGUGGACGCCAGUCUGCAUGGAGCCGACCUUGAAAUACCACCCUUUAAUGUUUGAUGUUCUAACGUUGACCCGUAAUCCGGGUUGCGGACAGUGUCUGGUGGGUAGUUUGACUGGGGCGGUCUCCUCCUAAAGAGUAACGGAGGAGCACGAAGGUUGGCUAAUCCUGGUCGGACAUCAGGAGGUUAGUGCAAUGGCAUAAGCCAGCUUGACUGCGAGCGUGACGGCGCGAGCAGGUGCGAAAGCAGGUCAUAGUGAUCCGGUGGUUCUGAAUGGAAGGGCCAUCGCUCAACGGAUAAAAGGUACUCCGGGGAUAACAGGCUGAUACCGCCCAAGAGUUCAUAUCGACGGCGGUGUUUGGCACCUCGAUGUCGGCUCAUCACAUCCUGGGGCUGAAGUAGGUCCCAAGGGUAUGGCUGUUCGCCAUUUAAAGUGGUACGCGAGCUGGGUUUAGAACGUCGUGAGACAGUUCGGUCCCUAUCUGCCGUGGGCGCUGGAGAAUUGAGGGGGGCUGCUCCUAGUACGAGAGGACCGGAGUGGACGCAUCACUGGUGUUCGGGUUGUCAUGCCAAUGGCACUGCCCGGUAGCUAAAUGCGGAAGAGAUAAGUGCUGAAAGCAUCUAAGCACGAAACUUGCCCCGAGAUGAGUUCUCCCUGACUCCUUGAGAGUCCUGAAGGAACGUUGAAGACGACGACGUUGAUAGGCCGGGUGUGUAAGCGCAGCGAUGCGUUGAGCUAACCGGUACUAAUGAACCGUGAGGCUUAACCUUACAACGCCGAAGGUGUUU
rnacentral:rRNA from 1 species